UGGUGAUCGUUGGCGGAGAGCUUCGUUGCCACAGACAGACCUAGAUUACAGAUGUGCGUCUGGAUUUUAAAAAGUAUCAUCACCAUUAUCAUCAUCGUCAUCGUCAUCAUCAUCUAUGUGGGGGGCUUUCUCGACAGAUUCUGAACAACAGUUUUCAACUUAGAGCUUUGAAGAUGAUAGAAGUCCAGAAUAUUCAAAGCUAAUCUGUAUAUUAGAAUGAGCAAUAGGAAGAUCUGUGUCUGGUGGGCAAAAAGGCCCAAAGAAAAUUAAAGAAUACACCAUGCAGAGCUGCUGGUAGGUAACCACGGGGCA
ensembl:processed_transcript